rnacentral:rRNA from 1 species
UACGAAGGGGGCAAGCGUUGUUCGGAAUUACUGGGCGUAAAGGGCGCGUAGGCGGCUUAUCAAGUCAGGCGUGAAAUUCCCGGGCUCAACCUGGGGGCUGCGCUUGAUACUGAUGAGCUUGAAUGCGGGAGAGGAUAGUGGAAUUCCCAGUGUAGAGGUGAAAUUCGUAGAUAUUGGGAAGAACACCGGUGGCGAAGGCGGCUAUCUGGCCCGAUACUGACGCUGAGGCACGAAAGCGUGGGGAGCAAACAGG